rnacentral:rRNA from 1 species
AGGACAAACGCUGGCGGCGUACCUAAGACAUGCAAGUCGAGCGGAUCAUAUGGUUUCGGCCGUAUGGUGAGUGGCGGACGGGUGAGUAACGCGUAGGAACCUGUCAUCAAGUGGGGGAUAACGCUGGGAAACCGGCGCUAAUACCGCAUGAGGUCGCAGCAAUGCGAAGAAAGCUUUUCGCGCAAGUGGAAGGCGCUAGAUGAGGGGCCUGCGUCCGAUUAGCUAGUUGGUGGGGUAAAGGCCUACCAAGGCAUCGAUCGGUAGC